CAGCGGCGGACGGGUGAGUAACACGUGGGUAACCUGCCGUUGGAAUGGGGAUAACGCCUGGAAACGGGUGCUAAUCCCGAAUGGUUUCCUUUGCCGCAUGGCAGAGGAAGGAAAGGCGCUACGGCGCCGUCCAACGAGGGGCCCGCGGCGCAUUAGCUAGUUGGUGGGGUAAUGGCCUACCAAGGCCGCGAUGCGUAGCCGACCUGAGAGGGUGACCGGCCACACUGGGACUGAGACACGGCCCAGACUCCUACGGGAGGCAGCAGUAGGGAAUCUUCCGCAAUGGGCGAAAGCCUGACGGAGCAACGCCGCGUGAGUGAUGACGGUCUUCGGAUUGUAAAGCUCUGUCAAUUGGGACGAGAGACGGCGAGAGGGAAUGUUCGCCGUGAGACGGUACCGAUGGAGGAAGCCCCGGCUAACUACGUGCCAGCAGCCGCGGUAAUACGUAGGGGGCAAGCGUUGUCCGGAAUGACUGGGCGUAAAGCGCGCGCAGGCGGUUUGUCGCGUCUGAGUGAAAGACCAGGGCUCAACCCU
rnacentral:rRNA from 1 species